AUUGAACGCUGGCGGCAUGCCUUACACAUGCAAGUCGAACGGCAGCACGGGUGCUUGCACCUGGUGGCGAGUGGCGAACGGGUGAGUAAUAUAUCGGAACAUGUCCUGUAGUGGGGGAUAGCCCGGCGAAAGCCGGAUUAAUACCGCAUACGAUCUACGGAUGAAAGCGGGGUACCUUCGGGCCUCGCUCUAUCGCGUUGGCCGAUGGCUGAUUAUCUAGUUGGUGGGGUAAAGGCCUACCAAGGCGACGAUCAGUAGCUGGUCUGAGAGGACGACCAGCCACACUGGGACUGAGACACGGCCCAGACUCCUACGGGAGGCAGCAGUGGGGAAUUUUGGACAAUGGGCGAAAGCCUGAUCCAGCAAUGCCGCGUGUGUGAAGAAGGCCUUCGGGUUGUAAAGCACUUUUGUCCGGAAAGACAUCCUUGGCCCUAAUACGGUCGGGGGAUGACGGUACCGGAAGAAUAAGCACCGGCUAACUACGUG
rnacentral:rRNA from 1 species